GCAGUGUGAAGGUGGGCAGUGCUCCCCAGGCUGCAGCAUGCAGCGCCCCACCUCCCUCCUGAACUUCUCACCCUUCUGCCUAUACCCAGCUCCACUCAGGAGCUGUCAUGUACGAGAGGUACAGUAGUAUCCAUGAUCACAAAGAAAAUUCACAUCAUGGUCUGUUAGUCUGAGGUACAAACCCAGAAGAAGGAGCUAGGCUAAAACUCAGCCAUAUAAUUUUGUUGAGGAAAUAAGAAGCUAACUGUUAUGGAAUGACAAGCAUUAGCUGGACAUAUUCCUACAGUUCUCCCUUUCCAAAGCAGGCAAUAUAAAAUUUCACUAAACUUUCUGUGAAACAGCAGCAUUUUCGUAACUGCACUCAUCUGCCAAAAGAAAUGUCAUUUCCAGGCAUCUAUAAAUAACUAAAUCUUAUCAUCACCCCGACACUUAGCAGCUGGAACAACACAGCCAGAUGUUGGCAUCCCAAGGCAAGCAGGACUCGGUUUGGAAAUGGCUGGGGUAAGCUUAAGGUUACGGAGGAGGGCCAUGGAGAAAAGGGACAGCUGUUUGUUCAGCUGUCUCUCCUUCAGUUCAGUGAGAUGAGUGCUUUAACUACGCAUACACUAAAAAUCCCGUGAAAAAAGGUAUAUGAUCAUAUCUAGGAACACAGAAUCUGGUAUUUGCUAGCACUGAAUUUCACCAGUCUAUGCCUCCUGAUAAGAAACAAGAACUCUUCCUUGAAAACAUCUCUGCCCAGAAAAUGUAAAAAAGGAAGGAGCAUUCUUUACCACAUGUGAAAAACCUCAAGAGAACUACAUAGUGAACUCAGGAGUGACUGCGCCGAGCUUUUGGAUGCUCUGUUGCUUCACCACAGCCCCAGUGCUGCAGGUCAGCUCCCAGUAUACC